UACGUAGGGUGCAAGCGUUGUCCGGAAUUAUUGGGCGUAAAGAGCUCGUAGGCGGUUUGUCGCGUCUGCUGUGAAAACCCGAGGCUCAACCUCGGGCCUGCAGUGGGUACGGGCAGACUAGAGUGCGGUAGGGGAGAUUGGAAUUCCUGGUGUAGCGGUGGAAUGCGCAGAUAUCAGGAGGAACACCGAUGGCGAAGGCAGCUCGCUGGGACGGUACUGACGCUGAGGCGCGAAAGCAUGGGGAGCGAACAGG
rnacentral:rRNA from 1 species